UGGGGAAUUUUGGACAAUGGGGGAAACCCUGAUCCAGCCAUCCCGCGUGUGCGAUGAAGGCCUUCGGGUUGUAAAGCACUUUUGGCAGGAAAGAAACGUCGCGGGUUAAUACCCCGCGAAACUGACGGUACCUGCAGAAUAAGCACCGGCUAACUACGUGCCAGCAGCCGCGGUAAUACGUAGGGUGCAAGCGUUAAUCGGAAUUACUGGGCGUAAAGCGUGCGCAGGCGGUUCGGAAAGAAAGAUGUGAAAUCCCAGAGCUUAACUUUGGAACUGCAUUUUUAACUACCGGGCUAGAGUGUGUCAGAGGGAGGUGGAAUUCCGCGUGUAGCAGUGAAAUGCGUAGAUAUGCGGAGGAACACCGAUGGCGAAGGCAGCCUCCUGGGAUAACACUGGCGCUCAUGCACGAAAGCGUGGGGAGCAAACAGGAUUAGAUACCCUGGUAGUCACGCCCUAAACGAUGUCAACUAGCUGUUGGGGCCUUCGGGCCUUGGUAGCGCAGCUAACGCGUGAAGUUGACCGCCUGGGGAGUACGGUCGCAAGAUUAAAACUCAAAUGAAUUGACGGGGUCAUAGCUGUUUCCU
rnacentral:rRNA from 1 species